CCGACACUCUGUCCCGCCUGGUGACAGCGCUGUGAGACACUGAGCUGGAGAUAUACAGGACUGCAUAUUCCAGGCAGAGGGAAUAGCUACUGCACAGGCCUGGAGGAGGAUGUGUGCCUGUGGAGUGUCAGGAGCAGAGUGAGCAGGGGGCCGGCAGCUGGAAGUGAGGUUGGAGGGGCAAGAGGGCCAGAGCAUAGCAUGAGGAGGACUCUACUGUGUAGAGUGUGGUGGUCUCAGCGGACAGAGCAGGACCUAGCUAUCUUUGGGAGCCAUUAUUUGGCCUACCACAGCCAUCUUACUUUUUAAAUUUCAGGACACAUCUGGACACCAGGCUAGAGCAGCAGAUGCCACAAACUUCUACUGUGAAGGAUGAGACCACGUGCAGGUGACCCUGCCAGUGCACAGAGCUCCCCAGCUGCACUGCCCACCCGAUCUGCAGGCAGUGCCAAAGGCCACCUGGAAGACAGCCUGCCAAGGAGCACUCUUUAUGUCCCUCUGAAGGAAAUAUCUGCUCCCAAGGAAAGCCCACCUGCAAUGUCGUCCCCUAAAAUAAAACAAGCCUCAGUGCCCUGCCUCUCUGGGUACCACUGUUCUGCUUCACAUAGACAACCAAUUUCAGAUACGGGUCAGAAAGAGGCCAGGGUGAUCUUUAUUUUAUUAUUUCAAAGACACGGGGUUUCACUAUGCUGCCCAGGCUGGAGUGCAGUGGUUAGUCACAGGAGUGAUCAUGGCUCACUGCAGCUUCAAACUCUUGGGCUCCAGUAAUCUUCC
rnacentral:lncRNA from 1 species